GAUGAACGCUGGCGGCGUGCCUAAUACGUGCAAGUCGAGCGAACGGACGAGAAGCUUGCUUCUCUGAUGUUAGCGGCGGACGGGUGAGUAACACGUGGAUAACCUACCUAUAAGACUGGGAUCACUUCGGGAAACCGUAUCUAAUACCGGAUAAUAUUUUGAACCGCAUGGUUCAACAGUGAAAGACGUUCUUGCUGUCACUUAUAGAUGGAUCCGCGCUGCAUUAGCUAGUUGGUAAGGUAACGGCUUACCAAGGCAACGAUGCAUAGCCGACCUGAGAGGGUGAUCGGCCACACUGGAACUGAGACACGGUCCAGACUCCUACGGGAGGCAGCAGUAGGGAAUCUUCCGCAAUGGGCGAAAGCCUGACGGAGCAACGCCGCGUGAGUGAUGAAGGUCUUCGGAUCGUAAAACUCUGUUAUUAGGGAAGAACAGAUGUGUAAGUAACUGUGCACAUCUUGACGGUACCUAAUCAGAAAGCCACGGCUAACUACGUG
rnacentral:rRNA from 1 species